rnacentral:tRNA from 1 species
UGCAGGGGUAGCAAAGCUUGGUCAAAUGCGCUAGCUUGAGGGGCUAGUGUCUUAGGACUUCGUGGGUUCAAAUCCCUCCCCCUGCAA